GGAUGGUUCAAGUAAGUGAUAUUUCGGAACAGUAUCUAGUUCCUUUAAUACCAAUGAAGGAACUAGAUACUGUUCCAAAAUAUCACUUACUCGAAC